AGUGAUGUGCCUGAAUAAAAGGAUUAUCGUGAUAGGAUAAAUUAUAUAAUACAUUUUAUCAUCACUA
rnacentral:tRNA from 1 species